UACAGAGGGUGCGAGCGUUGUCCGGAAUCACUGGGCGUAAAGGGCGCGUAGGUGGUGACCUAAGCGUGCGGUGAAAGCCCGAGGCUCAACCUCGGGUCGGCCGUGCGAACUGGGUCACUGGAGCAGAAUAGAGGCGGGUGGAAUUCCGGGUGUAGCGGUGGAAUGCGUAGAGAUCCGGAAGAACACCGGUGGCGAAGGCGGCCUGCUGGGUUCUGGCUGACACUGAGGCGCGACAGCGUGGGGAGCAAACAGG
rnacentral:rRNA from 1 species